UACAGAGGGGGCAAGCGUUAUUCGGAAUUAUUGGGCGUAAAGGGCGCGUAGGCGGCCUGUUAAGUCGAACGUGAAAUCCCCGGGCUCAACCCGGGAACUGCGUCCGAGACUGGCAGGCUCGAAUCCGGGAGAGGGAUGUGGAAUUCCAGGUGUAGCGGUGAAAUGCGUAGAUAUCUGGAGGAACAUCGGUGGCGAAGGCGGCAUCCUGGACCGGUAUUGACGCUGAGGCGCGAAAGCCAGGGGAGCAAACGGG
rnacentral:rRNA from 1 species